AGCUGACGCUGGCUUCGUGCCUAACCAUGCAAGUCGCAAGGUCCCGAUCGCCCUUAUUGGCGUAUCGGGAUAGUGGCGGACGGGUGAGUAACGCGUGAGCAACCUGCCUGCGAGUGGGGAACAACCCCGGGAAACUGGGGCUAAUACCGCAACACACCCUAUGACUUUGGUCCUUGGGUUGAAAGCCCGCACGGGCGCUCGUACAGGGGCUCGCGUCCGAUCAGCUAGUUGGUGAGGUAACGGCUCACCAAGGCGGAGACCGGUAGCCGGCCUGAUAGGGUGUUCGGCCACACUGGGACUGAGACACGGCCCACACUCCUACGGGAGGCAUUAGUGAGGAAUAUUGCGCAAUGGGGGAAACCCUGACGCAGCGACGCCGCGUGGAGGAUGAAGCCCUUCGGGGUGUAAACUCCUUUCGACCCGGACGAAAGCCCGCAAGGGCCUGACGGUACGGGUAUAAGAAGCCCCGGCUAGCUACGUGCCAGCAGCCGCGGUAAUACGUUGGGGCAAGCGUUGCUCGGAAUCACUGCGCGUAGAGCGGUCCGUAGGCUGCUCGGUGUGUCCGUCGUGAAAACUCCUGGCCUAACCGGGAGACGUCGACAUGAACUGUCGGGCUCGAUGACCGGGAGAUGUGCGUGUAAUUGCGGGCUGUAGCUGUCGAAAUGCGUAGAGAUCCGCAGGAUCUACCGGCGGCGAAGGCGUCGCACUGGACCUCUCUUGCAUGUUGAUGGCCUGAAAUUUGGGGGAGCAAACAGGAUUAGAUAUACUGGUAGUCCCAGCCCUAAACUAUGGUCUCUGGGUGUGCCCGGCGUUCGUCGGGCGUACUGACUCUAAGACAAUAAGUGAGCCGCCUGGGGAGUCCGGUCGCAAGUCUGAAACUCAAAGGAAUUUCCGGGGGCCAGCACAAGCGGUGGAGCAUGUGGUUCAAUUCGACGAUACGCGAAGAACCUUACCUGGGCUUGAAGUGUGCCCGCCCAGCCCGAGAAAUCGGGCCUUCCCGCAAGGGACGUGUGUAGAGGUGCUGCAUGGCUGUCGUCAGCUCGUGUCGUGAGCUGUUGGCUUAAGUCCCGCAACGAGCGCCACCCCUGUCCUUAGUUGUCAACGGUUCGGCUGAGCACUCUAGGGAGACCGCCCCGGAUAACGGGGAGGAAGGUGGGGAGGAGGUCAAGUCAGCAUGGCCUUUAUGUCCAGGGGGGAACACGUGCUACAAUGCGCGAUACAAAGGGUUGCCAACCCGCAAGGGGGAGCCAAUCACAAAAAAGCGCGCUCAGUUCGGAUUGUCGUCUGCAACUCGACGGC
rnacentral:rRNA from 1 species